rnacentral:tRNA from 1 species
GGUGUUUUGGGCACUUCCAGUAUAGGCAUCCUUUCACUCGUAAUGAAUAGGUCAUCGGUUCGAUUCCGAUAGGCGGCUCCA